AGCCUUCACUUUCCCUUCCUCAGGAGGAAGACACUGCUGAGGAUUGUGUUUGCAUUUUACAGAUUCCAUCUCACGAAUUAAAAAUGCUGAGGUGGUCAACUGUUAUCAAUUCUAUGUUUCCCAGUAAUGUUUAACCUUAAGUUAGAAAAAAAAAAUCUAAGAGAUAAAACAGCAUGUUAUCUGGCCAGUCCAUUCCACCCCCAGUGGUUAUAAUUUCAGAACACUUCUGAAUUCCUUCUCCGUGGCUAUGCUUUAGGAGAGGAGCAGACAGCUCUUUGCCAGGGUCAGAUUUCAGAUUCUCAUCUAUUGGUGGCAAUACCACCACCAGAUUCUUCUUUGAAGUCAACUUUUGAGAUCUUCCUUAAGUACACCUUGGUGUCUGAAGAUUCGCACAAGUGCCUCUGGUAAUCAUUUUCUUCAGGGAAUCACAGCCUCUCCUCUCAGCAAAGCAUCCACUGUACUGAACUUUGCUUUUGAAAACGUCUUCUUCCUGAUACCUCAUUGAAAGAAGCUCUCUGGUGUCAUACUUUCCAGUAUGGAGGCGAAGAACUUUGCAAUUUGGGAUUAUGUUGUAUUUGCAGCCCUCUUUUUGGUUUCCUCUGGAAUUGGGGUGUUCUUUGCCAUUAAGGAGAGGAAAAAGGCAACUUCCCGAGAGUUCCUGGUUGGGGGAAGGCAAAUGAGCUUUGGCCCUGUCGCCUUGUCUCUGACAGCCAGCUUCAUGUCAGCUGUCACGGUCCUGGGGACCCCUUCUGAAGUCUACCGCUUUGGGGCAUCCUUCAUAAUCUUCUUCAUUGCUUACCUAUUUGUCAUCAUCUUAACAUCAGAGCUCUUUCUCCCUGUGUUCUACAGAUCUGGUAUCACCAGCACUUAUGAGUACUUACAACUACGAUUCAACAAACCAGUUCGCUAUGCUGCCACAGUCAUCUACAUUGUACAGACGAUUCUCUACACAGGAGUGGUGGUGUAUGCUCCUGCCCUGGCACUCAAUCAAGUGACUGGGUUUGACCUCUGGGGCUCUGUGUUUGCAACAGGAAUUGUUUGCACAUUCUACUGUACUCUGGGAGGAUUAAAAGCAGUGGUGUGGACAGAUGCAUUUCAGAUGGUUGUCAUGUUUGUGGGCUUCUUAACGGUUCUCAUUCAAGGAUCAACUCAUGCUGGGGGAUUCCACAAUGUAUUAGAGCAAUCAACAAAUGGAUCUCGACUACAUAUAUUUGACUUUGAUGUAGAUCCUCUCAGGCGACACACUUUUUGGACUAUCACAGUGGGAGGAACUUUUACAUGGCUCGGAAUCUAUGGGGUCAAUCAAUCAACUAUUCAGCGAUGCAUCUCUUGCAAAACAGAAAAGCAUGCUAAGCUGGCCUUGUAUUUUAACUUGCUGGGUCUCUGGAUCAUUCUGGUGUGUGCUGUCUUCUCUGGCUUAAUCAUGUACUCUCACUUCAAAGACUGUGACCCUUGGACUUCGGGCAUCAUCUCAGCACCAGACCAGCUGAUGCCAUACUUUGUCAUGGAGAUAUUUGCCACAAUGCCAGGACUGCCAGGACUUUUUGUGGCUUGUGCCUUCAGUGGAACUCUGAGCACCGUGGCUGCCAGCAUCAAUGCCUUGGCAACAGUGACCUUUGAGGAUUUUGUCAAGAGCUGUUUUCCCCAUCUCUCCGACAAGCUGAGCACCUGGAUCAGUAAAGGCUUAUGUAGGUCUCUUAUUUGGCGUGCUGUGUACCACUAUGGCUGUGGCUGCAUCCGUCCUGGGAGGUGUUGUGCAGGCUGCCCUCAGCAUUCACGGCAUGUGCGGGGGACCAAUGCUGGGUUUAUUCUCCUUGGGUAUUGUGUUCCCGUUUGUGAACUGGAAGGGUGCACUAGGAGGUCUUCUUACUGGAAUCAUCUUGUCAUUUUGGGUGGCCAUUGGGGCCUUCGUUUACCCUGCACCAGCCUCUAAGACAUGGCCUUUGCCUCUAUCAACAGACCAAUGUAUCAAAUCAAAUGUGACAGCAACAGGGUCUCCAGUGCUAUCCAGCAGACCUGCAAUAGCUGAUACCUGGUACUCAAUCUCCUACCUUUACUACAGUGCAGUGGGCUGCCUAGGAUGCAUUGCUGCUGGAGUAAUCAUCAGCCUCGUAACAGGUCGCCAAAGAGGUGAGGAUAUUCAACCACUGUUAAUUAGACCAGUUUGUAAUUUAUUUUGCUUUUGGUCUAAGAAGUACAAAACACUAUGCUGGUGCGGAGUUCAGCAUGACAGUGGUACAGAGCAGGAAAACCUUGAGAAUGGCAGUGCCUGGAAACAAGGGGCUGAAUCUGUCUUACAGAAUGGACUCAGGAAAGAAAGCCUGGUACAUGUUCCAGGCUAUGAUCCUAAGGACAAAAGCUACAACAAUAUGGCAUUUGAGAUUACCCAUUUCUAAGGCAAUACCUGUAUGAAUGCACACACACACACAGACACACACAAUAUACACACACACAAACACACAAACUCCACAUACUUCUUGCCUAUUUGUUAGUAGAUUUGUAUAGUUGCCAUUGCUAGCAGACAGGGAUGUCUGCUGCCUAUUUGUACUUAUUUAUUACUACAUGCAAAAUACUGUUUCCCAGGAUAUUAUCUGAAAGACUCCAACUUUCACAGAGAAAAACCAAUCUGCUCCAAAUGUCCUUGACUACUUCCUUCUUGAAUAAAUUAGGACUGGAUUUCAUCACCAUUCAAGAAAUCAAAGUCUGUUUGCUUGGUGUCGUAUUAAACUUCAGGUUUUUCAUUUUAGUAGUUUUUUAACCAUCAAAAUAUCUUGGAUUUUAAAGGCAGAAUGGGCAAUAGGAAUAUGCAUAUUAUUGCUUUUCUACCACGAGGAAUAAAACAGAGGAAUGACAUCCACCUCUGACCUCAUACCUCACAUAUAUGCAGACAUUUUAUGCCACCCAUCUCCCAUCCUGUAGCUGCAAUUGGCAUACAACUAUUAACAUACUAUUAACAUCCCUUCACCACCACUAUUAGGUCCUCUUCCAGUCAUUCCAGUCAUUAGCUGUCCUGACCAAACAUUAAAAAAAAAUUCAGCUAAGUGCAGAAGGAGAAUAUGGUAUGUCUGGCUAGUGGGAGCGAUUAUAACUAAAAUCUCUGCUCCUUUUAUGUUGUCCAUGCAGUAUUUCUUCUUCCUUUCUAUCACUUUACAAUGAAAAAUUGCCUCAGAGCUCAAUAAGAAGUCUGGAGCCUUUUUCCAGGGCUAAGUAAAGAGAAAAGGAAUGUCCUAUAGAAGGUUGUUAGAAUAGAAUUUGGUAAAAGAACGUUGCAAAUAGUAAACAGACCAUAGAUUUCACCAGCAAUAGUGUUCUUCUUUGGACAAAACACAUUGUCCACAAGACUUGUACUCUGCUCAUUCAGCUCAUGUGAGCAAGUUCAACUCACUCCACCGGGUAAGGUAACAAAAAUGGAGAACUUCAUAGUUCGUGUCUAGAAAAUAAUGUUUAAAGUUCUGGAUAAUGAGGGCAUUGCCAAUUAAAAGGCGAGUUGACAAAUGAAGGAGCAGUGAAAGAUUUUUGGAGGAAGUGAAGAAAUAAAAUUCUGAAAAGGUAAAAGAAAGAAACAGUAUGUCACGGGGCAAAGUCAGAGGACAGAUAAUAAGAAACAAAGUUGUAUCUGAGAGUCAUAUAUUAGGACAGGUGUCAGAUAUUUAUUUUGGCGGCCAGAUAAGAGCAAAAGGCCUAGAAACAUUGCAUUAGCAAAGUAAGAAGAAAUAGUUCAAAUAGGCAAGCAUAAGGAACUCCAAAGGUUGUCUUUAAAUAGUUCUUGAAAGAGAAAGCCUUGAAAGAAGCAUGCAAUAGACAAUACCAAUAUCUAUUAUUAGAAAAGAUAGAAAGACAGACAAAUCAAUGGAGGAAUUAAAACAGACACACUGGAGUUUACAAAACAGAACUCAAUCCUUGCCUUCUCUCCCUCCACUCAAAUAGAAAAGGAGAAUAGAGAAAGAGAAAAAAGGUAUUGGGCUACAGUUUAUAAGAGAGAUGAGAAAAAAAAUACAUUUGGGAUAAGAGGGAAGGGGUCAAAAGGGGGCACAUUUGGAGAAAUAUCUGAAAACGAGAAGGAGCAGAAUUUUUGGAAACAUUUUUCAAAGUCUGGCAAUGCUAAUUAAGCUGUUGAUCUAAGGAUUUGCAAAUUGAGAGGUGCAAUUAUUUUCCAAAUGACUUGUGAUACUCUUAUUAAUUAGAAUACAUAUUUUGUGAAUAUUGAAAUCUGAGCCAAACCUAGUUGGCUUUAUUAAUAUCUUAGGGAAAGAAGAGAGAAAGAAAGAGGGAGAGACAGAGAGAGAAAGAAAGAAAGGAAGAGGGAGAGAGAGAGAGAGAAAGAAUAAAAAGGAAAAAACAGCAAUUCUGAGGAUGAGAAUAAAUUAAUGGUAGGCAUUAUAUAUGCAUGUACAUAUAUAUACAUGUGCAUACAUAUAUAUGUAAAUAUGAUUUGGAAUACAUCAGGAUUGUGAACUUCCAUUUGGGAUAGCAUAAAAACAAAAUAUACCGUACAGUUUUUCCUUUUACUCACAAAUUUUACUCAUACAUUUUCCUAAAGACAUUUCACUGGGUCAGUACAUUUCCGCAAAAGUUUUAAAAAUGUUUUUUCUUUUACAGUCCCUAAUUAUCUUACCUGGAGUGUUAUCAAAAUGUCAUACAACUGGAAGAUGCAAUUAUUAUAAUAAAAAUAUCUCUGCCUUC